AAUGAACGCUGGCGGCAUGCCUAACACAUGCAAGUCGAACGAUGCUUUCGGGCAUAGUGGCGCACGGGUGCGUAACGCGUGGGAAUCUGCCUUGGGGUUCGGAAUAACUCAGAGAAAUUUGAGCUAAUACCGGAUGAUGUCGAAAGACCAAAAAUUUAUCGCCCUGAGAUGAGCCCGCGUAGGAUUAGCUAGUUGGUGAGGUAAAAGCUCAUCAAGGCGACGAUCCUUAGCUGGUCUGAGAGGAUGAUCAGCCACACUGGGACUGAGACACGGGCCAGACUCCUACGGGAGGCAGCAGUGGGGAAUAUUGGACAAUGGGCGAAAGCCUGAUCCAGCAAUGCCGCGUGAGUGAUGAAGGCCUUAGGGUUGUAAAGCUCUUUUACCCGGGAUGAUAAUGACAGUACCGGGAGAAUAAGCCCCGGCUAACUCCGUGCCAGCCGCCGCGGUAAGAC
rnacentral:rRNA from 1 species